CUUUUUGGUAGAGGAUGCAAUCAGUGUGACACAGGAGCUGAAGCUCACUUUGGAAGUGGAACCAAACUCACAAUUCUGGAAUCAAACCGUACUGUCACCCCGCCAAAAGUGAAAGUGUUCAAACCUUCAAAAAAUGAGUGUCAAAACAGCAAAAACAAGAAAAAGAAGAAGACCUUGGUGUGUCUGGGUUAUGGUUUCUACCCGGACCAUGUGAGUGUGUUCUGGCAGAUCGAUGGGGAUAAAAUCACAGAUGGCGUGGCGACCGACAAUGCUGCUCUGCGGGACGGGGACUAUUACAAAAUCACCAGCAGGCUGAGGGUCCCACUCAGGAUUUGGUCAACACCAGGCAAGAGGUUCACCUGCACCGUCAACUUCUUCAAUGGAAACACAACUGUGCAAAAUUCAAUGUCAGUCGAAGGAGAUGGAGCAAAAAGAGAGGAAUAUUUGAAGAUCACGCACACUGCCAAGCUGGCCUAUGCUGUUUUCAUCGCCAAGAGCAGUAUCUACGGAGCCUUUGUGGUGUUCAUCGUGUGGAGACUUCAGGGGUCAUCUGGAAAACAGAACAACUGACUGCUGAGCUGCACAAACCAGCUGGUUCUCCUUUUAACUGUAAAUAAAAAUUUAAAGGUAUGAAUGUUGAUUUGCAUUUUGCCUUCAACGCGAAAUCAGCUAAUCGCAUUCUGCACAAAUAAGAGCAACUUGCUGGAUUUAAAAGCACGUGAAUCAUUUGAUAUCCAUUGUUGACUGACACUUGGCUGUCUGUUUGUUUGUGAACUGCUUCAAGUUGAAUUUCAUUCUCAAUAAAAGCUUUUCAGAAGACA